GUGAACAGGGGAGCCGUUAGGCUGAGAGUUUACCCUUUGAACCUGAUCUAGGUAAAUCUAGCGUAGGGAGUUUCAUCAAU
rnacentral:ncRNA from 1 species